UACGUAGGGGGCGAGCGUUGUCCGGAUUUAUUGGGCGUAAAGAGCGCGCAGGCGGUUCGUUAAGUCUGGCGUGAAAUCUCCCGGCUCAACUGGGAGGGGUCGUUGGAGACUGGCGGACUGGAGGGCAGGAGAGGGAAGUGGAAUUCCGGGUGUAGUGGUGAAAUGCGUAGAGAUCCGGAGGAACACCGGUGGCGAAGGCGGCUUCCUGGACUGCACCUGACGCUGAGGCGCGAAGGCUAGGGGAGCGAAC
rnacentral:rRNA from 1 species